GGGAAGGUGGCUCAGUGGUAGAGCACUUGCCUUGCAUGCAUGAGGCCCUGGGUUCGAUUCCUCAGCCCA
rnacentral:tRNA from 1 species